rnacentral:rRNA from 1 species
CCCUUAGAUGAUCUGGGCCGCACGCGCGCUACACUGAUGCAUUCAACAAGCCUAGCCUUGACCGAGAGGUCCGGGUAAUCUUUGAAACUGCAUCGUGAUGGGGCUAGAUUAUUGCAAUUAUUAAUCUUCAACGAGGAAUGCCUAGUAAGCGUGAUUCAUCAAAUCGCGUUGAUUACGUCCCUGCCCUUUGUACACACCGCCCGUCGCUCCUACCGAUUGAAUGUGUUGGUGAGGAGCUCGGAUUGGCAGCAGUUGGUGGUUCGCCACCGGCUAUUGCUGAGAAGUCCUCCAAACCGCCCCAUUUAGAGGAAGGAGAAGUCGUAACA